rnacentral:rRNA from 1 species
UAAAGACGCAUGCAGGUGGUUUGUUAAGUCAGAUGUGAAAGGACCCGGGCGUCAACCUACGGAAGUAGACAUUUAGUAAACUAGGCAGACUAGAGUACUGUAGAGGGGGGUAGGAAUUUCAGGUGUAGCGGUGAAAUGCGUAGAGAUCUGAAGGAAUACCGGUGGCGAAGGCGGCCCCCUGGACAGAUACUGACACUCAGAUGCGAAAGCGUGGGGAGCAAACAGGAUUAGAUACCCUGGUAG